rnacentral:rRNA from 1 species
AAACUCAAAUGAAUUGACGGGACCCGCACAAGCAGCGGAGCGUGUGGUUUAAUUCGAUGCUACACGAAGAACCUUACCAGGGUUUGACAUGCAAGUGGUAGGAAACUGAAAAGGGACCGACCCUUCGGGGAGCUUGCACAGGUGCUGCAUGGCUGUCGUCAGCUCGUGUCGUGAGAUGUUCGGUUAAGUCCGCUAACGAGCGCAACCCUCACUGUGUGUUAUAUGUGUCACACGGGACUGCCGGUUUUAAGCCGGAGGAAGGUGGGGAUGACGUCAAGUCAGCAUGGCCUUUAUAUCCUGGGCUACACACACGCUACAAUGGUCGGUACAAUAGGUUGCCAAGCCGCGAGGCGGAGCCAAUCCAAAAAAGCCGGCCUCAGUUCAGAUUGUAGGCUGCAACUCGCCUGCAUGAAGAUGGAGUUGCUAGUAACCGCAGGUCAGCAAUACUGCGGUGAAUACGUUCCCGGGCCUU